rnacentral:misc_RNA from 1 species
GAUGAAGAACGUAGCGAAAUGCGAUAAGUAAUGUGAAUUGCAGAAUUCAGUGAAUCAUCGAAUCUUUGAACGCACAUUGCGCCCCCUGGUAUUCCGGGGGGCAUGCCUGUUCGAGCGUCAUUUCACCACUCAAGCCUCGCUUGGUAUUGGGCAACGCGGUCCGCCGCGUGCCUCAAAUCGACCGGCUGGGUCUUCUGUCCCCUAAGCGUUGUGGAAACUAUUCGCUAAAGGGUGUUCGGGAGGCUACGCCGUAAAACAACCCCAUUUCUAAGGUUGACCUCGGAUCAGGUAGGGAUACCCGCUGAACUUAAGCAUAUCGAUAAGCGGAGGA